GUAACAGGGGAGCUUGCUCCCGCUGACGACCGGCGCACGGGUGCGGAACGCGUAUGGAACCUACCUCAAUCAGGGGGAUAGCCCAGGGAAACUUGGAUUAAUACCCCAUAGUAUUGUUCUAUUGCAUGAUAGAAUAAUUAAAGCUUCGGCGGAUUGAGAUGGCCAUGCGUAUCAUUAGCUAGUUGGUAAGGUAAUGGCUUACCAAGGCAACGAUGAUUAGGGGCCCUGAGAGGGGGAUCCCCCACACUGGUACUGAGACACGGACCAGACUCCUACGGGAGGCAGCAGUGAGGAAUAUUGGACAAUGGUCGCAAGACUGAUCCAGCCAUGCCGCGUGCAGGAUGACUGCCCUAUGGGUUGUAAACUGCUUUUGUACGAGAAGAACACCCUCUUCGUGAAGAGGACUGACGGUAUCGUACGAAUAAGGACCGGCUAACUCCGUGCCAGCAGCCGCGGUAAUACGGAGGGUCCGAGCGUUAUCCGGAAUCAUUGGGUUUAAAGGGUCCGUAGGCGGGCUAUUAAGUCAGAGGUGAAAUUGUGCAGCUCAACUGUAGAACUGCCUUUGAUACUGAUAGUCUUGAGUUAUGGUGAGGUAGCCGGAACAUGUGGUGUAGCGGUGAAAUGCAUAGAUAUCACAUAGAACGCCGAUUGCGAAGGCAGGUUACCAACCAUAUACUGACGCUGAUGGACGAAAGCGUGGGGAGCGAACGGGAUUAGAUACCCCGGUAGUCCACGCCGUAAACGAUGGAUACUAGCUGUUGGGUUUUCGGACUCAGCGGCCAAGCGAAAGUGAUAAGUAUCCCACCUGGGGAGUACGUUCGCAAGAAUGAAACUCAAAGGAAUUGACGGGGGCCCGCACAAGCGGUGGAGCAUGUGGUUUAAUUCGAUGAUACGCG
rnacentral:rRNA from 1 species